rnacentral:rRNA from 1 species
UACGUAGGGUGCGAGCGUUGUCCGGAAUUACUGGGCGUAAAGAGCUCGUAGGUGGUUUGUCGCGUUGUUCGUGAAAACCGGGGGCUUAACCCUCGGCGUGCGGGCGAUACGGGCAGACUGGAGUACUGCAGGGAGACUGGGAAUUCCUGUGUAGGCGGUGAAAUGCGUAGAUAUCUGGAGGAACACCGGUGGCGAAGGCGGCAUCCUGGACCGGCAUUGACGCUGAGGCGCGAAAGCCAGGGGAGCCAAACGGG